CACAAGCGGUGGAGUAUGUUGGUUUAAUUCGAUGCAACGCGAAGAACCUUACCUGGUCUUGACAUCCCGGAGACCCUUAGGAAACUAGGGGGUGCUUCCAUCUGGAAGAAUCUGGAGACAGGUGCUGCAUGGCUGUCGUCAGCUCGUGUCGUGAGAUGUUGGGUUAAGUCCCGCAACGAGCGCAACCCUUGCCUUUAGUUGCCAGCAGUUCGGCUGGGCACUCUAAAGGGACUGCCGGUGUUAAACCGGAGGAAGGUGGGGAUGACGUCAAGUCCUCAUGGCCUUUAUGACCAGGGCUACACACGUACUACAAUGGCCGAUACAAAGGGCAGCGACACUGCGAGGUGAAGCCAAUCCCGUAAAAUCGGUCUCAGUCCGGAUUGGAGUCUGCAACUCGACUCCAUGAAGUUGGAAUCGCUAGUAAUUGUGGAUCAGCAUGCCACGGUGAAUACGUUCCCGGGCCUU
rnacentral:rRNA from 1 species